rnacentral:rRNA from 1 species
CGGGUGAGUAACACGUGAGUAACCUGCCCUUGACUUCGGAAUAAGCCCGAGAAAUCGGGUCUAAUACCGGAUGACCACCCUCGCGGGCAUCUGCGAGGGUGCAAAGCUCCGGCGGUCAGGGAUGGACUCGCGGCCUAUCAGCUAGUUGGUGAGGUAACGGCUCACCAAGGCUUCGACGGGUAGCCGGCCUGAGAGGGCGACCGGCCACACUGGGACUGAGAUACGGCCCAGACUCCUACGGGAGGCAGCAGUGGGGAAUAUUGCACAAUGGGCGGAAGCCUGAUGCAGCAACGCCGCGUGCGGGAUGACGGCCUUCGGGUUGUAAACCGCUUUCAGCGCCGACGAAGCGUGAGUGACGGUAGGCGCAGAAGAAGGACCGGCCAACUACGUGCCAGCAGCCGCGGUGAUACGUAGGGUCCGAGCGUUGUCCGGAAUUAUUGGGCGUAAAGGGCUUGUAGGCGGUCUGCCGCGUCGGGAGUGAAAACUCAGAGCUUAACUCUGAGCGUGCUUCCGAUACGGGCGGACUAGAGGGAUGCAGGGGAGAAUGGAAUACCUGGUGGAGCGGUGGAAUGCGCAGAUAUCAGGUGGAACACCAGUGGCGAAGGCGGUUCUCUGGGCAUUUCCUGACGCUGAGAAGCGAAAGCGUGGGGAGCAAACAGGCUUAGAUACCCUGGUAGUCCACGCCGUAAACGGUGGGCACUAGGUGUGGGACUC